rnacentral:rRNA from 1 species
UACGGGGGGGGCAAGCGUUGUUCGGAAUUACUGGGCGUAAAGCGCGCGUAGGCGGCUAUUCAAGUCAGAGGUGAAAUGCCCGGGCUUAACCCGGGAACUGCCUUUGAAACUGUAUAGCUGGAGUGUCGGAGGGGAUGGCGGAAUUCCUAAUGUAGAGGUGAAAUUCGUAGAUAUUAGGAGGAACACCGGUGGCGAAGGCGGCCAUCUGGACGACAACUGACGCUGAGGCGCGAAAGCGUGGGGAUCAAACAGG